GCUGAACCAACCGAGAAGCCAUGGUGAUGGUUUAGGUUUGAAAUCGCCUUCCCGUUUUUUGCAACGUUACUCGGUGGUGAUUUUCGGUCUUCAAUCUUCCCACCGUCGUGGAAGCUUUGCUCUAACUAUGGGACAUCUCGAAGGCAAUGGACAUUAACGGUGCAGAAGGCGGAGCCACAACCGGCUUUCUCGGUGCGACAGUGGCCCUGAUUAGAACACGAAUGGGUUUGUCUAGGCCCGGCAAUGGCGAGACAGCGGAGCCCCGCCCCAAAGGGAUGCCAACUCAGCCUCCACACUAGGUCACCAAUUACUCGAGGUUGGUUUUUCUUUCGUGGUUACUAUGGCCUCACAGGUAUGUUUCUUUUAUAAACUUUACUUCAUCUAUUGGAUAUUCCUUGAUUUAGUCUCUGAUCUAUGUUAUAUAUAUGGGUAUAUGAUGACAAGAAUGAACACUACGUAUUAUUCUUUACUUUAUCAGCAUGAUUUAUGGAUGUGCUUAUCGAGUGUAUAUGUCUUAUUUUGUUGUUCAUAAUACAUACUAAGUAACGUACAUUUCUGCUUGUAUGCACUUGAAGAUGGUGAAUGUUCAAUCAUAUUUUCAAGCUUUGUUAACAGAUAAGGUAAUGGAUAAGCCUAUUCUCAACAGAUAAGGAACCUUCCUUGGUUAAUUCACCUUGCACAUAGUAUUGAGGUCCUCGUAGGCAAAACUUGUACAUCUCAACCGAAUCAUAUGAAUUCCAUAACUCGUUGUUACAAUCUCCUAGAGGAGAUCCAUCACUAGUUAUGCCUCCAACCUUCAUAAACAACUCCUCAUCCAAAGAGAAAUUGUUUCCUUCCACAACACUAACAUAUUUCUCAUCCUUAUAUAGAAAAUUGUUUUAAAAUUCCCGAACUGAAGAGGGGUAGAUGUUAAGAUGCCAUUCCAAGAAUAUGUUUGCCCCUUGAGCCUCUAAUUCGUGAUGUAAUUGGAAUUCUUGUUCCACCACCCAAGCCAUGUCUGUGUACAAAAUAUAAGUAUGUUUUUGGCCAAUGAACUUUAAUAAACUUACUUCUUGGAGAGUCGGAGAAUAGUAGGGUUCAUCAACAAUGAAAUUUCUGCCACCUUUUGUAGAGGAAGAGCCGCCAACCUCCACAUUUCUCAUAUGCCCAUGAUGGCAAAGAGAUCGAUGCAUACCAAUAGUAGUUUUCACUCCCUUAAGCCUUCCUUUGCUCAGAUGGCAACUUAAAUGAUCAAUACUCGAUUAUCUUAAUCGAUUUCGCAUAUUGGGGAUAGGGUUUGGAAAUAUGGAAAAUUAUAGGUUAUGUGAUUUUGAGGGUUAAUUGAUGGGAUAUGAGGGUAAUAGAUAUCAAUUGGAUGAUAAACAGUAAAUGGGUUCCUAAUUUGACACAAAUUAAGAAAGAUUUCAGAUUUGAGGAAGAAGUCUAGAGAUAUGAGGUUUUAGGGUUUUCGAAAUUCGUAUUUAACCAAUGUCACUAUAGCUUAAAUUAAUUGAUUAAGUGCACUAUUAAUCGAUUAACGAUUUUAAAAAUUUGCAGAGAUAAUUGAUUAAGGGCCAGUUUAAUCAAUUAUCAAAUUAUAAAAUUGUUCUCAGGUAAUUGAUUAAGAGCUAUUUAAUCGAUUAAAACACUUGAAAAAAGAGCCCAGGUAGUCGAUUAACUAGAGAAAUAAUCGAUUAAUGACAGUUCUUUCAGAGAAAUCAAUAAAUUUCAUCACUUGCUUAGGGAAUGCUAUGAUCUAAAUAGACAAAACUUAUCCUAAAUAAUGAUCAACCACACACAAAGCUGCUCAAUCAAAUAAGAACACAUCUAAGCUAUUUUGCAUACACACAAACAAGAUAGGCAUUUGAAUAAAGAUAAAAAAGGUUCAUGAAUAUCCAAACAACUUAGAUAAAACUAUAAAAUAUAUGAUUCAUCAGGUAUUCUGUAACACCUCUACCCAGGGAAAUUAAAGUAACUAAAUGAAUGAAGAAAAUAUUUGUGGCAGAAGCAACUUCAAAUUGAAAAUUGUGAAAAUAAAAUUUCCCGGAAAUAUCAUUCAUAUAACACUGAACUUGAACUUCAAAAGGAAUGAAUUUUUUUUUUGACAAAUCUAUCAAUAUGAAUAUAAAAUUCUUGACUUAUCAAGGAUAAAAAAUAAUAUGUUGAUCAGGUGUUACAUCCUAUAACAGAGUGACGCACUAUUGAUAAGUGCCAAAAAUGCCUAAAUUUCAUACAUUUUUUUAUGGUACUUAUCCUUGGCAAAAUUGAGAAAACCAACUUAAUUCAACACUUUUUGGAUAAAAUAUCACAAUCUUGUAUAUUUUCGUUGUGUAUUUCUUCUUUACUUUAUUUUGUAGGAUUUAGGUAGAAAAGAGAUGAAAUAAUCACGUGCAAGCAAAGUGCUCAAAAUAGGCCGAAAUGAUCCACAUAUGAGAUUCUUAAGCUAUGUGCUUAGCCUUAAGCAUGACUCAACAAAACUUGGCCUAUGUGGAAAACAUGAAGUCAACAUGAAGUUGCUCACUAAGCAGCUUAGCUUGGACCAAACCCACACCUAGCUGACCUAGACACCAACCCGGCACAGUCAGAACACAAGCCUAGCAUGGGCCACCACACGCAUGGCACACGCUAAGUGCUCAUUAAGCAACUUAGCAUGGCACCUUGAUCGCCCAGCUUGGAACCACACACAUGACUAGAUCAGCAAGCACCAAGCCACAUCACCAUCAGCACGGUCAAAGAUGCUCAAGCAUGCAGCUUAGUGGUGCCACAUAGGUGUGAAGAAGAUCUUUGCUCCUGACCUUGGCACCAUUUUGAUGAAGACACCAACAUCACCAAAAAGAAGAAAAGGAACAAUACUUAUGAAGACAAAGAAGACAAAACUUCAAGACAAAUUAGUCUAAGUCUAAAUAGGUACUUCUAUCCUAUACUCUUGAAUAUACAAUAGUAGUAAUGCUGAAACUAUUUUUUAAAGAAAAUUGAAACAAUUCAAGUAUAAACAAAACAAUUUUCAAAAAUAGUAUGUAAUAGGUUACUGGAUCUAAGUAACUUGUUACAUGAGUGAUAAAACCAAUUACCCAACAAAAUCUGUGCAGGGUAAUCAAUUACUGUAUAUGGGUAACAGGUUACCCAUUUCUGGCAAAGUUGGGUAAUCGAUUACUCAAGACUGUAAUUGAUUACUCUAAUUAAAUUUGAAAUGUCCAAUUGGACAACAAGUUUGGGUAAUCGAUUAUUGAAGCAUGUAAUCGAUUACUGAGAGUUGUUGCACUAGUUUUCAGAUUUCAAAGUGAAUGGUUUUCAUCCCAAACGAAAUGGUUUCAUUCCAAUCAAUUCCUACCCUUUCUAAGAGGUGCUAUGGCUCGUUGGAAAGCCUAUUUAAAGGUAUUGAAACUCAUGUACAACACACACAUACCUCUCACACAAAUCUUACAUAAACUUUCGAGUUAAUUUUGAAAAUUCUUUGAAACAUUUUUAUGCACUUAUUGCAAAUUUUUAUUAAACUUUCAAAGUGAAUUUUCCGAGUUUCUUUAGGUAAAGCGUUUCAAAAGUUUUACAAAUUAUAAGAGCAUUAUUACUUAGUAUACAAAAGAGUUAUUGGAUUGCAAGUGAUAUUACAUUUCAUACAAGGGUGUGAUAAGAAAGGAGAUAAAGUUAUUUAGAAAAGGUGUUUCCAAGAGUGAUAUAAGUAUUAGUGAGUGUAUAAGGUACAUAGAACACUCGGGUGAGAUAUUGUAAUUACAACUCAUAAUAUUUAGUGAAGAAAUAUCUUGUGCUACAAGUGUACUGUAUGUACUCUUCGGUGGACAAGAAGGUGAACCAAUAUAAAAUUUCAGUAUACUCUCUUCUCCUUUAUCUCUUGAUUUUUAUUUGUUAAUUUUCUGCAUAAUUUCUCUGUUGCAUUUAACUCUUAACUUUGCAGAAAAUGUGGCCAUAAUUUUAAGUAAACUAAUUCACCCCCUCUUAGUUGCAAUCUUAGUCUUACAAUAGGAGCUUGGCAGGGUAAACUCAUCCAGUUGGUCAAGUUGACUUAGCCACCAAGCAACCAUAACAUCAUACAUGACCUCACUCCAAGUAGCCUCUAUAGGCUUUUCAGAGGUACCUCAUAAUAGUUGGGCAAGUAGCUCACCAUAGCUUGGGUGACUCAGCACCAAGCAGGUAACUAAGCUGAUUGGCCAAGUGACCAAACCCAUGCUGAAGAGUUUUGUCAGCAGCUUGGCGGUGGCAGAAAACUCCUAUAAAUAGGAGGCACUUAAACACACUUAAGGAAAUUCCAUUUUCACAUACAUUCUCACAUUCAUACCUCCAUCCUAAUUUCUCUCUUCUUCUACAUCUUCUUUGUAAUUUCUUGGAGAACUUAUACUCCAAAAUAGCUUAGGUAAUUUUUUUGUAAUUUUCUCUUAAUUCAAGAGGAUAAGGAGUAAUCAAAUGAGAUGUAAAAAUUUAUUUUGCAAUAUCAUUUGUGCAUGAUAAAAUGUCUUAAAUACUUGGACUAAGAUGACUAAUGAUCCUAAAUUUUAGUUGAAUUUUGGCUCACUAAUAUUUCUUUUAAUUUCUUGUUUCAUUAUGUUGAAUCAUGUUUAAGUUAUUACUUUGGUAAUUUCAAUUCUUUAGAAAGUUCUUAAUGUGGUUUUAGCUUGAUCACCUAAAACUUGAUUUCAAUAUCCAAAAUGCUUCUUUUUAAAGUCUUGACAAAUGAACUAAAAAGUAGGAAUAUACCUUAGUUAAUUUGCCAAAUCAAAGCAUCUAUUUUAAGCAAGUCUGAAAUAAGGUGUGGCAACUUAUUUUGUCGAGUUACAGUUUUCUAUUGAUUAGUAUAUUUUGCAAGGUUUGAAAAUCAUGUUUUCUCACUGGGGGACUGGGGGAAAUUUCAUGAACUGACGUUUGGAAUAACCAAAGUAUAACACAUAACUUUUAUAAACAUUUUUUUCGUAAGAUACAAGUUCAGAAAUUUUUUCAUCAUUCAAACUAAUUUUCAAACUCCAUAAAAUAAUUUGUGCAUAAUAGUUGUUUACUUUUAUGUUUACUUGUUCAAAUUCCAUAAACAAAAAUCAAACCAAAAAUAUGUUUAAACUUUAUUAGUAAUAUAACAUGUUUAUAAUAUUGUUGUAUUAGGCAAUUCCUUGUGGUUCGACAUAACCCUAUACUAUACUACAAUUGAAUCUUGAAAGACAUUCAAGUGUAAAAUAGUAAAGUGUUAACUUAUAAAUUUUAUUUGUUGACAAAAAGAGAAACCUUGAAUCAAAGUGCAAUUUAAUUCAUAAAUUGUAUCUUUGUGAAAAGGAAAAAUACACAGUCAUAAUGAGUGAUCUAACUACUAACUUUUAUUUUCAGUCAUUUACUUUCCGCAAGUAACAUUUAUUUUCUGUCAUUUACAUUUCUGCUACUAACAUUUAUGUAUUGAUUUAUUCAUUUAUUCUUUAGUCUGUACCAACCUUCCAUAAGGAAGUUGUUCGGUUAAUAAAAGCAAAUGAAAGUAAAUAUUACUCAUUAUCACUUGUGUUAAUACGCUAAAUUCAUACCAGUAAACUAGUGUUGGAAUUUAUUCCACAAAACCGAGAUGAUAUGAAGUUGUUAAUAAUUCAAUAAAGCUAAGUUUUUGAUCAAAUGGAAUAGUCUUGAAACCAUUAUAUCGACAUUGGAAUUUAUUAUAACAAAGUUGAGAUGGCGAGCAAAGAGUAAACCAAUAUCUAAAUAAAUCAAUCAGAAACUUGCCUUACCAAGCAAGAAAAAUCUUUCAACAAAUUGGUGCCACUGUUGGAGAAUUGCUGAAUAAUAGAAAUUAUCAUUUACAAUGGCAUAUUAUUAAUAACCUUGUAAACAAAUAUUUUUCACUUUUUGUAUAAAUUAAUUUGAAUUUGUAUAAACAAUGUAAAUUAUAUAUAUUGUCUAUUCUUAAUCACUAACUUUCUUGUGAAAAACAUAAACAUUUCCUUUGAUGGCUGAAUUGUAGGAAAAACAGGUACAAUUUUCAAUCGAUCCAGAACUUGAAAAAAAUCUAUGAAAGAAAAAGAAAGCCCAAAGGAAAGCUACGAAACAAUCAGAAUCAAUGGCCAGUAAUCAACAAAUUAAUGAAGGAUCAAGGGAAGACAACUAGCCAAAUACUGGUGGAUUUGUCAGUUUCACGCCCAGAAAUAUGAUAAGGAUCGGGAGCCCAUCUGGUACCCAAAGGACUCCCGAAAUGAAGUAUGGUUUGGUACAGCUGAUGUAUGCCAAUCCAUUUGCUGGUCUGGAGCAUGAAGACCC
rnacentral:lncRNA from 1 species